rnacentral:rRNA from 1 species
GUAGGGGGCAAGCGUUAUCCGGAUUUACUGGGUGUAAAGGGAGCGUAGACGGCAGGGCAAGUCUGGAGUGAAAGGCAGGGGCCCAACCCCUGGACUGCUCUGGAAACUGUCCGGCUGGAGUGCAGGAGAGGUAAGUGGAAUUCCUAGUGUAGCGGUGAAAUGCGUAGAUAUUAGGAGGAACACCAGUGGCGAAGGCGGCUUACUGGACUGUAACUGACGUUGAGGCUCGAAAGCGUGGGGAGCAAA